AGAUCUGCAGAGACAGAAUUCAUCCUGCUUAGGAACUCCUCAAUGAUGAAGCUGGCAUUGAGUCAACCUCCCUUCUACACUCCUGAUGCUGGUGGUGUCAAUCUUGCUCCUGUGGGAGAAAGCUGCAUCAAUUCCUGCAUGUAUGGUGGAAGAGGGUGACUGCUGGGACCCUCUCCAGGAAACAUUUAACAGUGCUAUCCAGAGAGCUGAAACCCUCUGUAAUCUUGCUGACCAGUUAUAUGUAGAAUUUACCAGAAUCAAUUCUCAUCUAGACAGUUUGCAGAUCUUAAUUCACAACUGAUGAGGUGGGAUGAGACUGUUGUCAAAACUGGAACUUACUGCCAUUCAACUCUUGCAAGACCCCAAAAUAAAGGAAUAAAUAUUGAAAUUGAAGUGUAUUUGCAAACGUUGAUCAAUUUUGUGGGUUCAUGGAUCAGCCCUCUCCUCCAUUUAGUAAUUGAACUGAGUGCCAUGGAAGGUGUCCCUGAAACUAUCCUCUCUAAAGCUAAGGAUCUGGAAGAGAACAACAGACAACUUCUGGAUGACCUUAGGUGGAUACUCACCAAGGUGAGCCCU
rnacentral:lncRNA from 1 species